rnacentral:lncRNA from 1 species
CCCAGUUCAGAGUGGCAAAGCGUGGAUUGAAUGUUUAACCCUUCGCAGGGAGAGCUGGAGGGGCUUGAAGCAUCUUUUUCUAUUCAUCCAACAGGCUGCUCAGGAGGACUGCGGUGAAGCAUUGAGCGGCUGCAGUCACCAGUCAUCUGAGAGGCGCGGAAGCUGCAACCUGUUUGGUUACUAAAUCCUCAUCAAACUACCUCCUCUCAGUCUACAAGUCAUGUUUUCCUCACUUUGGGGGUUCUCAACAAAGACUCUGCUAUAGUCACAGCAGACCAAAGUGAUGAGAGGUGGGUCAGCUGUGAGCUGAACCAUGAUCACUCUGUCUUGAUGAGGAAACAAACAAAAAUGUUACUCACCAUUGAUGCAGCCUUUCCAUAUGCCAGAGAUUGCAUCCACACUGAAGUGUGAGAAUGGGUUAUGCUGCACAGGGAAACGCCCCCCCUCCUCCACCCCUUCCCUGCUAUUCCUUUCUCCGCUGUGCGUGCCUCGCCUCCCCGCUUGUGUGGGGAAUCACAUAACCACUCCUUGUUUUUCCAUUUUCUUCGAGGGAGGGAUGCUGGGAUGGAGGCUGUGCAGCAGCAGAGGCAGCGGCGGCAGCAUCCCUUCCGCUGUGCAGCUCAUCCGCAACCUCUCACCUCUCCUCUCCUCCUCCUCCACCUCCUCCUCCUCCUCUAAUCGCCUUCUCCUCCUUUCUCUUUCUCUCCUUUUGCCUCUCUCCAAGCCCUGCCACCGGAGAGCAUGCCCCGUAGUGCAGCUCUUCCCAAGCUGGGAUCCGAGGACUGAAAAAAAGUCACGUUGGAGCUCUGAAACUUUGGAUCCUCCUUUGGAACAGAAAGGACAGAUUUCUAUUCCACAACGUUGUGGCUGCAGCUUCCUAAGGGUGUUUCCUCCAGGGUCCCUGCAGAGCUUUGUGCAUUCCCUCCGGUGUCCACGUGUGAUCCCACACCUAAUCCUACUCCUAAUGGGACCUCUGCAUUCAAUUGAUUUUCUCCCUUAG